CUCAUUUACAUUGUUAAUAUUCAUUUUGAAAUUUUGUGCAGUAUAAAAAGUCAUUCAAAUCUAUAUAUAUUUGUAUACACACCAACAAUUUUUCGGUCACAAACUGGAUGCCAUAACUGAGAACCAUUUUAAAUAAUUCCUUAUAUAUGGAAUAUCAGUCUCAAUAGAUUUGGGAGUGGAUAAGAAUUUAAGGAUUAUUUUACAUGAUUUUAUCGUUCAUUAUUUUUCAGUGGUAGGUCACAUGAGUUUUGCAUGAAUCCGGCGAGUCUACCCCCCAAAACCCCAUUUUAUUUUCCCAAUUUUUUGGUGAAACUACAAUUUUUCCACCAACAUCCAUGAAUUUUGGAAACCAAACUUCUCUCUUCCAUUUCCAUUUCAUUUUCUAACCAGCAACCAUGACCACCCAAAAACCCAUUUUCUUUUCUUUCUCCGACAAAUAGCCAGCCCUCAAACCCCCAUUCUUUCUUCUCCGUUCUCCCUUAAUAAACCUCCAAACCCAUAAAAACCAUCCAGACACCCCCACACCUCAAACCUUCCUAAAUUCCAAUGAAAAACAGAGCAAAAAACACCAACUCCUUUCUCUUUUCUAACUCCGGCAAGGAACUCCAAGCUCUGAUGAACAGGAGCAAGCCAACAACUCUUAAAUCCUCUCUUCUCCUCCUCUUUCCCGCUAGCAAAUAAUCACCAAAACCCCUUUUGUUUCUUCCCAUUUUUCCAGCUAGCAAUAGCAAGAUAAACGGACCAGUCCCUUCCUUUUUUCCCUUUUCAUAUUUUAUUUGGAUUUGCAGUUGUUUUCACAUUUAAGUCAGGCGAAGCGAGCAAAACUGGAGCAAAAGUCCAAGUUACCAGAGAACAACAACAUCAAUAACAACUGAGCAAAUCAGUGAGCCAAAGCUCAAGCAGAUCCGGCAAAAUCAAAACAUCACUCCAUCAAUGAGCUCUUUUUCCACCUAAACUCCAUAGCACCGCGACGUUGUGCCGUCUAAAAGGGAUGUCAACAGAAUGGCGACUCCACAAAAGAUAUAAAUGUUCUGAACAUUAUGGUUUCAUUUAUUCAAAUUGAGGAGAUUAUUCUGUUAUUCUUUUAUUGAUUAUGUCUUGUAUAUUUUGUUGAUGAUUUGCAUAUUCUACUCAUUAUUUAUUAAUUACUAGUUGUAUAAUGUUAUUGCUUUCAUAACAUAUUCUAACAUAAAUACAAUAUAUUCAAGAAAAGUUUUGCGAAA